UCCGCAAACAAACAGAUGAAGAAGAGGAGGAUGAUGACGGUCCAGCGCAUACAAGGAGAAAGUAACCGAGAGAAAUGUCAUCGCAGAAGAAAUGGCAGAAGUUCCUCAGACACCUGUGAACAGCGAGCAGUGCUUGGAGUCAGACAGUAGACUUCAUCUUUAUUAUACUUCUCUGACUGGACUAGCAAGGAGCAGUUAGAGUCCAUGAGAAAGUGCAGAAAUGAAAGCUCCCAAGCAAAGUACUCUCUGGACUAAGACGUGGAAAGACAUGCUGCACAAUGACCCAC